UGCUGGGGGAGUGAACUGGGCCAAUCAGGCGGGUGCGUGGCGGCGCGGGGGAGGCGGAGCCCCUUCACUCCUCCCUCCGCUCCUUUCCGACCCCGCGCUCACAGGGGAGCCUCACCGCACCGCCGGAUUCCAGCACAUCAUGACAUGUCAUUAUCUAGAGCAGUAAUGAACGUUGACCUGUUUUGGAUUAGUUGAUGACAUUUGGAAAUGAUCCAGUAAUACCUAUUACAAAGAAGCUGAGUAUACUCUAUUUGGAGUGAACAGCCCAGAUUGUUCUGAAUUUUCCAAGAUGAUAGAUCCAAUGAUGGACUUAUUUGAUGAUGCCAAUCUUUUUGGUGAAACCUUAGAAGGUUUGUCAGAUGAUGCAUUUGUACAACCAGGACCUGUUUCACUAGUCGAUGAAUUGAACUUGGGUGCAGAAUUUGAACCUUUGCACAUAGACUCACUGAACCAUGUUCAGGGUACUCCAACACAUCAGAAAAUGACUGAUUAUGAAUAGUUAAAUCAGUUUGAUUCAAUGAAAUUUCAUCCAGUUAAUCAGUCUUUUGGUAGCCUAGCUGAACAUGUGUUAUCUCCACACCCUCAGUUUAAUUAUUCUCCAGUCCACCCCCAAAACCAACCCAAUGGUUUGUUUCCAGAUGUAGGAGAUGGUAGUGCAAUGUGGGGCCAUCAGACAGCUACUAGCAUUUCAAAUCAAAAUAGGUCUCCUUUUCACCAACAAGGACAUUCUCACUCUAUGCCUCACAAUAAAAGCUUUAUGGCACACCAUGAUUUUGCCUUAUUUCAUUCCAAUGAACAACAAACACAGUGCACUUCACUCACAACAAAACUGAAAUAAUCUUAACACAGGGCAAAGUUCUCUAGGCCAGUCUAAAAAUUUUAUGGAUGUUAAUGUUUUUGGUCCACACAGAGUCAGUGUUAACCACACAGAGUCAGUGUUAACCACCCGCCACAAAUUUCUAAUGCAUCUACUUCACAACAGUCUCUUUUGAUGCAACAAUUUUCGCAAACGCCAAAUCCUUCAGUACACUUCCUCAAGUGUGGUAGUCGUCAGGAAGGAAAUUUUAAUGGACCUUCUCCAAAUAUGACUUCCUGUUCUGUCAGUAAUUCACAGCAGUUUUCUUCCCACUAUUCCUUUUCCAGUAAUCAUGUAUCACCAAACAGUCUUCUCCAGCCCUCUGCAGUUCUUGGACCUAAUCAUACAAAUCAGACUUUACCUGAUUUUCCUGGAAGUAAUUCCUUUUCACUUCGUAGGGGAAUGAAGCAAGAAUCCACUCAGCCUAUGCUAAAUCCCAAUACGUCACUCAAUUCAAAUAAUUUCCAAAUGUUGCAUUCAUCACAUCCUCAGGGUAAUUGCAGCAAUUCAAAAUUAUCUCCUGUGCACAUGAACUUCCCAGAUCCUUUUGAUUCAGGAAGCCAAAUGGUCCAUUUCAGUGAUCAUGUAGGAACUAAUGGCUUUUCAUCUUUAGAAGAGAAUUUACUUCAUCAGGUAGAAUCUCAGACUGAGCCAUUCACAGGACUUGAUCCAGAGGACCUCCUUCAGGAAGAUCUCCUUCCCCAAUUUGAUGAGUCAACAUUUGGGCAAGAUAAUUCAAGUCAUGUUUUAGAUCAUGACCUUGAUCGGCAGUUUACUUCACAUCUUGUAACGUGGCCUUCUGAUUUGGCUCAAACUCAGUUACAUGGUCAGGCUGGUCUUGGCAUUCAUCACUUCCUAAUCAUCAACAUUUACACGACAGAAAUCGCCUUUACUUAAAGAGACAGGGACAAGCACCGAGGAAAAUACACAACACUCCCCUACCAGAGGAAUGGAUAAAGGAAAUGUGGCAUAUGUAUUACAUAUACAAUAGAAUAUUAUUCGAGCAUAAGAAAGAGGUAAAUCCUGCCGUGUGCGAAGCAUAGAUGAAUUUGGUGGACAUUACACUAAGUGAAUUAAGUCGGUGAAAGACAAAGACUGUAGGAUCUCAUGGAUAUGUGGAGUCUAAAAAAAGAAAAAGAAUCCAAACGCAUGAUGCAUAAACUAGAUUGGUGACUGUCAGAGGUGGGAGAUUGAAAGGGUAUCUCGCUGGGACCCUCUUUACCCCAGAACGAGUCAGGAAACGGGCCCACGCAACAGAUUUUAUUAUCUGAAAGAGAACAUGGCUGACCCCAGAGAGAGGGCACAGCAGCUCGUGGGUGAGGAAGCUUUUUUAAGGAGUUGGGGUAGGGUGUGUUCUGCAUUGGUGAUUGGAUCUUAUUUAUUCACUCAUUAAGCUAUUCAUACACUCACAUAUUCAACAACUGUUUAGUGAGUACCUACUGUAUGGCAAGUCCUUUGCCAUGCACUGCAGAUAUAGUAAGGAACUAGACAAGCAUGCUUUCUGCCUUCACAGAGCUUGUUAACCCUUGAGGAAAGCAGAUCUAGAGCAAACAAUUGUCAACUGUGAAUAUAUUUUAAAAAAGAAAUUCAGGGAGCUAUAGGAGUGUAUCACAAAAGACCUUCUACAAUAGCAUCCCCCCUUCUCCAAGAGAUAGUCACCAACUUGACUAUAUGAAGCUGAAAAGAUUCUGUACAGCAAAGGACAUCAUCAAUAGAACAAAAAGACAUCCUAUAGUAUGGGAGAAUGUAUUCAUAAAUGACAGAUCUUUUAAAAGAUUGACAUCCAAAAUAUAUAAAGAGCUCACGUACUUCAACAAACAAAAAGCAAAUAAUCCAAUUCAAAAAUGGGCAGAGGAUCUGAACAGAAACUUCUCUAAAGAAGAAAUUCAGAUGGCCAACAUGCACAUGAAAAGAUGCUCCACAUCGGUAAUCCUCAGAGACAUGCAAAUUCAAACCACAAUGAGAUAUCACCUCGCACCAGUAAGGAUCGCCCCCAUCCAAAAGACAGACAACUACGAUCGUUGGCGAGUUUGUGGAGAAAGGGGAACCCUUCAUACGGUGCUAGUGGGGAUGUAAAUUAGUUCAACCAUUGUGGAAAGCAGUAUGGAGGUUCCUCGAAAACUCAAAGUAGAAAUAGCAUUUGACCCAGCAGUUCCACUUCUUGGAAUGCAGCAGCCCAGUUCAAAAAAGACAUGCACCCCUAUGUUUAUCGCAGCACUAUUUACAACAGCCGAGAAAUGGAAGCAACCUAAGUGUCCAUCAGUAGAUGAGUGGAUAAAGAAGAUGUGGUACAAAUACACAAUGUAAUAUUAUUCAGCCAUAAGAAGAAAACGAAUCGUACCAUUUGUAACAACAAAUGGAUGGAUCUAGAGUGUAUUAUGCUCAGUGAAAGAAGCCAGGCAGAAAAUGACAAGUAUCGAAUGAUUUCACUCAUCUGUGGAGUAGAAGAACAAAAAAAAAUUGAAGGAAUAAAACAGCAGCAGACUCACAGAACCCAAGAAUGGACUAACAGUUACCAAAGGGCAAG